AGGGGCCCCAUCUCGUUGUGGUGUCUUUUCAUGGAAUUCAUAUCGAGUACUCCACAAUAAUCAUCGUACUUCAGCUGAACAGAAGUUAAAGACCUUCCUCAACAUAGAACCUUCACACCAGCCAAGACUUCCACCGUUACACCCGUAAAACAGAACAAGAUGAAGUUCAUUCUGUUUACUGCUAUUCUUUUCUCUAUGGGGUGGAUGAAUAUUGAGGGAUCAGAUGAUGGACUUCUAGGAUGCUGUCUUACUGUGUCAAACACCAGAACAUCAGUUGAAAACAUUUUGGUUUAUUUACAUACAAGAUAAAUCAGGACUAUGUCCUAUCAGAGCUGUAAGG